CCUGCUGUGAGGCCAGGGUCCAGGGGCAGCCUGGAGGGGAGCACAGUGGUCUUGAGACGCAGCCUCACAAAGCAUAGCCACAGGACCUCUCCCUUGGGCCCUAGCACCUGCCUGGGCACAGAGGCAAGGAAGAGCCUCUGAGACCCCUCCUUCCUGUCCCACAGGACAGGAAAUGCUCAGAGUUGCCAGGGGACCUGGGCAAAGACUCAAAGCUAACAAGUGACAGAAAUGGGACUUGAGCCAGACCUUUUGACUCCAAGUCCAGCACUCUAUCCCCCUCUCCCAUGCACCUCCUCUCCUCCUGUCUUUCUCCUCCUUUCUGCGUAUUAUGAGGUGCCAAGACCUGAUAUAGGGGAUGGAGGUAAAAAGAGAUGGGGUGAGAAGCUGCAGCCCCUCCUCCC
rnacentral:lncRNA from 10 species